AGGAAGUCCUACGUUCUAAUGUGCUGAAUGAGACCAUCGUAUCUUCACAUUUGCAAGAUGAGAAGCUAGUUGAUCAAGAUGAUAUUGAGGUAGACCCGGAGGAGGGACCGACAAGCCAUAGUAGAAAUGAUAUAGUUUCCCUUAAUUAUUUUAUGUUGUCAUUGUUUUUCCUGUUUGUUUAUGUUAUUUUGGUUUUUAGGAUCGACACAAAGAUUAUGAGACUUUGGUGUUAGAUUCUAAUAUGCUUGAUUUAUUGUUAUUUCAACUAUUUUUUAGUGAUUUCUUUUGGAUAGUUAUUAUUGCUCUACACUCUUUUUCCCUUCACUAGGUUUUAUCCCACUAGGUUUUACUAGUAAGGUUUUUAACGAGGUAGAAACAAUUCAUUUUAUUUAUUUUGGGUUUUGGUCUAAUCCUCCCAAGUUUGUAUAUUCUUCUCUUUUUGUAUUAUUAAAUAAAAUUUAUAAGGUGCUGCAAUUCAUUUGUGAUAGGGCCUUCCCUUA